rnacentral:rRNA from 1 species
AUCAACUUUCGAUGGUAGGAUAGAGGCCUACCAUGGUGGUAACGGGUAACGGGGUGUUAGGGCACGACACCGGAGAGGGAGCCUGAGAAACGGCUACCACAUCCAAGGAUGGCAGCAGGCGCGCAAAUUACCCAAUCCCGACACGGGGAGGUAGUGACAAUAAAUAACAAUACGGGGUUCUUUCGGAUUUCGUAAUUGGAAUGAGUACAAUUUAAAUCUCUUAACGAGGAACAAUUGGAGGGCAAGCCUGGUGCCAGCAGCCGCGGUAAUUCCAGCUCCAAUAGCGUAUAUUAAAGUUGCUGCAGUUAAAAAGCUCGUAGUUGAAUUUCGGGACUAAUAUGUCGGUCGUGCCUCGGUACGUACUGGUUUAUUGGUUUCUCCUUUCUGAAGAACCAUGAUGUCAUUUAUUUGGUGUCGUGGGGAAUCAGGACUGUUACUUUGAAAAAAUUAGAGUGUUUAAAGCAGGCUCACGCUUGAAUACAUUAGCAUGGAAUAAUGAAAUAGGACGUUUGAUUCUAUUUUGUUGGUUUCUAGGAUCGACGUAAUGAUUAAUAGGGAUAGUUGGGGGCAUUAGUAUUCAAUUGUCAGAGGUGAAAUUCUUGGAUUUAUUGAAGACUAACUACUGCGAAAGCAUUUGCCAAGGAUGUUUUCAUUAAUCAAGAACGAAAGUUAGGGGAUCGAAGACGAUCAGAUACCGUCGUAGUCUUAACCAUAAACUAUGCCGACUAGGGAUCGGAUGAUGUUAAUUUUUUAAUGACUCAUUCGGCGCCUUACGGGAAACCAAAGUGUUUGGGUUC